GACAGAGGGUGCAAACGUUGUUCGGAAUUACUGGGCGUAAAGCGUGUGUAGGCGGCCAUUCAAGUCGGAUGUGAAAGCCCCGGGCUCAACCCGGGAAGUGCACCCGAAACUGGAUGGCUUGAGUAUCGGAGAGGUUGGUGGGAUUCUCGGUGUAGAGGUGAAAUGCGCAGAUAUCGGGAGGAACACCGGUGGCGAAGGCGGUUCUCUGGGCCUUACCUGACGCUGAGGAGCGAAAGCGUGGGGAGCGAACAGG
rnacentral:rRNA from 1 species